GGGCAGAUAGUUCAGGUGGUAUAGAACGCCUGCCUUACAAGCAGGAGGUCGGGAGUUCAACUCUCUCUCUGCCCACCA
rnacentral:tRNA from 1 species